rnacentral:rRNA from 1 species
CAUCCAUCCAUCGAUCCCAUUCCAGAUCCCCCGUCUCCUCGCUGUCUCGCCCGAUGGAGAGAGCUCACCUCCUCCCUUCCAGAUCCAUCGCCGCCGCCACCUCUCUCCGGCGGAGCUCGCCGUCGUUCAUGGCCUCCCCCACGCCCUCUUCCUCUCGCCCCUUCCCUUCCCUCACCACCCAACCAAACCAACCAGUCCACCACACACCCUCACCUCGUUACCGACGCGCCGCCGCCAUCCCCCACGAAUGGUGUCGUCCCCAUGAUCUGGAUCCCCACGAACUAGCCGCUGGCGACCGCAUCCACUCCGCCGCCGGCUCCACCUCCACUCCCCUCCACUCCCCUUCCUGGCUAGAGAUCCCCUCCUCUCCAAUCCCACCCGCGCUCCACAGGCGAACCCUACACGCGCGCGCGCCAGGGGCCGCCCCGAUCUGCGAGAUGUGGCGUAGCCGCGUGUCGCGGGGCCUCCGGGAGGCAAAGGCCGCCGCCGCCGCCGCAUCUAGGCGCUUCUCCACCACCUCACCAUCCCCUCUUCCUCCUCCUGUGCCCCCAAAUCCAGCCCCACCGCCGGCGACUCCGCCCUCUACCCCGCUGCCGGCUCCCCCCACCAUCUGCUCCUCCCCUCCCCUCCUCUCCCCUCCCCUCCAGACCGACUCGACCUAGGCUGGCCGCGUCCUUCAGAUCCGUCGGCAGAGGAGGAGGAGGCGCCUCCUCCCACCGCCACAGCGCCCUCCAACCUUCUCUCCUUCCUCGCGUGUGCCCGGAACCCUAGCCAUGGCACUCGAGGAGUGCUGGUGGUGCACCGAGCGCUGCCUCGACUGGGGCGUUGGCGGCGGCCCCGACCUCAUCGUCGACGACGCCACGCUGCUCAUCCACCAUGGCGUCAAGGCCGACGAGGAGUCUGGCAAGGUCGCCGACCCAGAGUCCACCGACAACCCCGUCAUGCUCGCCAUCGUCCGCACAAGUACCGCAAGAUGGAGGAGAGGCUCGUCAGCGUCUCCGAGGAGACCACCACCGGCGUCAAGCAGAUGCAGGAGUCCGGCACUCUCCUGUUCCAUGCCAUCAACGUCACCAAGAGCAAGGUUGCUUUGAUGUAUACAAGCUGCUGCUGCUCCAGGUGGACAAGGAAGCCCUCAUGGCUGCUGCUGCACUACAGUCUGCUUUUCAUUUUUUGAACAAGAUGUAUUAAUGUUAAGUUGACAUUACUGUUGCCUUGAGCUACAUACACUUACUAACAUUGAUCCUGGUAUCAUGUUGUUUACUGUAAGACUUGCUGUUUAGCAAGGCUUGAGUAAUUUAGUGUACUGCAUCUUUAGUUUCAAUUGAAAUUUUUAUCAUGCUACUGUGACAUCUACUGAAAAUUUCAAACAAAUGAAAGGAGUACGUAGUUACAAAUGGAGCCUACAAAUUAUGUACAUCUAUUGUACUCAUUUUUAGUUAUCUGUAGUUACAAAGCAUCAAUUGUAAGACUGUAACUAAACAUAUCUUCUUAUCCUCUUUGAUUUUACUCAUACGCAUGCUUAUGAUCCUGUUAACAACAUAGCGUUUGUAAAAUGAUCCUGUUUGUAAUAUGAUUACAAUAGCAGAGUUGACAACCGAGGGUUUGUAAUGCGGCCUCGUUGCUGUUCUCUUUUUCAUAUGCAGUGCUACUGUUAUGUGUGUGAUGCUCCAGCUCCAUGCAAGCACUGGGGCAAAGGGCUCUGUCAAGCAGGUCCCUGGUAAGCGUCUCGUUUCCGCUCUGUCCCCAUCCGCCUUUGUCUGUUUGUUCAAACUGGUGGUGCUGCGAGAUGAGUUUGCUUGUGGAUUCUUGUUUUGGUAGUAGUUUGCUUUGCUAUGAGUAAAAUGCUCGUACUUUGCUUGCCAUGUCUGGUUCUUGUCUUGGUAGUAGUUUUCUUCGCUUAUCCAGUAGUAUCAGUCAAUCGGCCAGCCUGGAGCAGCUUGCUGUUGUACAUGAUGGUGUUAACUGUGAAAAUGCCAAGUGUGAGAAAAUUAGACCAGUUGUCCAUUUCUUGCCUGAAUGCAUUCUUUAAAUGACAUGAUGUGCUAGAGACAUGCUACUUACUAUAAACAAGAUGGUGUUUACUGUAUUGUCUUUCAUGCACAGUUGGUGUAUUAUCUUCUGACCUGCUGGUGUCAUAUCUACUGUACACAUAGAAGGUGAACUAUCUUCAAGAACUAUCUUCACUAUUUCUCCCUGCUGCAUUGCCUCACCCGUUCUCCUUCUAUCUUAGUCUUGAUAUAACUCUGCAGUUUACUUGAAUCUGCAGUUACUUUCAAAAGUAUAUGCAAAGUGUGUGGGUGUGUGUAUCCAGUGAGCAAAUCUGUAGUAAUUACUGAGUAUAUAUCUGCUUUCUUUUAGUGGAUAUUUUCUCCUCAGUUCUCUUUUGACAUGUAGUUUGUUCUCUUUGAAUGUGCAGGUAGUAUACUGUGCUGGUGAUGUUUUUUCGUUGCUGGGAUCAUUUGAACCUGGAUGUCAUGUGUUAUGUGAUCUGAGCCAUAUGGCAUAUUGUAAAAAAAUUAUGUAUGAUGUUUUUUCGUUGCUGAGAUCAUGUGAAGAUGUACUUUUGAAAUGCUGCUUUGACAACAAACUUGUAUUCCUGUGUAUAUCCUGCUUUGACAGCAAAAUUAUGAAAAUUUC